AACGAACGCUGGCGGCAGGCUUAACACAUGCAAGUCGAGCGCCCCGCAAGGGGAGCGGCAGACGGGUGAGUAACGCGUGGGCAUCUACCCAUCUCUACGGAAUAACGCAUGGAAACGUGUGCUAAUACCGUAUACGUCCUUCGGGAGAAAGAUUUAUCGGGGAUGGAUGAGCCCGCGUUGGAUUAGCUAGUUGGUGGGGUAAAGGCCUACCAAGGCGACGAUCCAUAGCUGGUCUGAGAGGAUGAUCAGCCACACUGGGACUGAGACACGGCCCAGAAUCCUACGGGAGGCAGCAGUGGGGAAUAUUGGACAAUGGGCGCAAGCCUGAUCCAGCCAUGCCGGGUGAGUGAUGAAGGCCCUAGUGUUGUAAAGCUCUUUCACCGGUGAAGAUAAUGACGGUAACCGGAGAAGAAGCCCCGGCUAACUUCGUGCCAGCCGCCGCCGUAACAC
rnacentral:rRNA from 1 species